rnacentral:rRNA from 1 species
GACGGAGUCUCUCUGAAGCGACGAUGCCUCCUGAGUGAAGAAGGCCUUUGGGUUGUAAAGCUCUUUUGUAGGGGAAGAUAAUGACUGUACCCUAAGAAUAAGGUCCGGCUAACUUCGUGCCAGCAGCCGCGGUAAUACGAAGGGACCUAGCGUAGUUCGGAAUUACUGGGCGUAAAGCGCGCGUAGGCCGUUGAGUUAGUUAAUUGUGAAAUCCCAAAGCUUAACUUUGGAACUGCAAUUAAAACUGCUCGACUAGAGUUUGAUAGAGGAAAGCGGAAUACAUAGUGUAGAGGUGAAAUUCGUAGAUAUUAUGUAGAACACCAGUUGCGAAGGCGGCUUUCUGGAUCAACACUGACGCUGAGGCGCGAAAGUAUGGGUAGCAAAGAGGAUUAGAUACCCUCGUAGUCCAUACCAUAAACGAUGAUUGCUAGAUGUUGGAAAUUUAUUUUCAGUAUCGCAGCUAACGCAUUAAGCAAUCCGCCUGGGGAGUACGACCGCAAGGUUAAAACUCAAAUGAAUUGACGG